GACGAACCGUCCAAACGUUAUUCGGAAUCACUGGGCUUACAGAGUUCGUAGGCGGUCUGGAAAGUUGGGUGUGAAAUCCCUCGGCUCAACCGAGGAACUGCGCUUGAAACUACCAGACUCGAGGGAGAUAGAGGAAAGCGGAACUGAUGGUGGAGCGGUGAAAUGCGUUGAUAUCAUCAGGAACACCGGUGGCGAAGGCGGCCUUCUGGGUCUUACCUGACGCUGAGGAACGAAAGCCAGGGGAGCGAACAGG
rnacentral:rRNA from 1 species